GUCAUAAGUAUAUAAAUUAAAUUAAACCUAAAUUUAAAGAAAAUUUUUCAUUAUUCCUCAUCUUCUUCACGGAAAAGAAAGAAAAAAGCUAGGGUUUUCCAACUUUGAUUUUAAUCUUUGAUUUGAUCGAGAACGUGCUGAUAAUCGUGAAAAUGAGAAAACUACGGAAUAGUCCCUGUAUCUUGGAAUCUUCUGCAAUUCAGUCCAAUCACAUUUUGAAGGCUAAGAAGAUUGGGUCAACGCUAGGAAUCACACUAUCUGAGAAUCUUGGUAGACUUAAUUUCUCGAUUUUGGUAUAUGGCAUGUACUAGGACCCUAUGUAUUGUUAUGAGAAAUGCCUAGCUUAUGAGUAAUAUAUUGUGAUAUGUUGUGCACUUGAACAACUUGUGAUCUCCUACUUGUUACUUAAAUAUGUUUGAUAGGUCAUAGUAUGAAAUGAUAUGCUAUGAGUUAACUUGAGCUUGAAAUGAAAUGGAUGUUUGUUUAUAAAGAAUAAUGUGUUUGUAGCUACAAAUUGGAAAUAAAUUGUGAUGAAACACAUUGAGGUGUCAAGGUUAAUAAAUGUUUGAUAUAUAGAA